GGCGGUUUGGUCACCGCGCACUUCCUCUCGAGCAAAACUCAAGAAUGGAAGGACAAACACAUCCACGCAUUCCUCACGGUUGGGACGCCUUGGUUGGGAAUGGUUGAAGCUGUUGGGACCUACAUCGUAGGCCUUAAUCUCCGUAUUCCAACUAUUGAUAAAAAAGUCACGUUAAGCGUGCAGCGAACUUUUCAGUCCUUGGCAUUUCUACUGCCUGAAGAAGAAGAAUUCAAGGAUGCGGUAUUGGUUGAAUGGGUCCUCAGAAUAAAUCGUAUACGGCCAAAGAUUAUCAGCAAUUUUUUAAAGAUGUAAAGUUCGAGGAUGGGUAUCUUAUAAGAGAGGAUGUUCGUCCUUUCUUUCCUUUUGCUCUGGAUAAACUAGGAGUCAGGUUUAUUGCGUAUGGACAAACUCGUCUGAGAUUAAAACACCUACGUCGUAAGUCAUUAUUUUUAAUUCAACUCUUUUCUAAUCAUGCCAGAAUUUUUUUGAGCCAUCUUUUGGUCUCAAACAUUUUGUCAUGGUUCGUCGAAGUGCACCAUUCCGUCAGAAUAGUUUUCACUGAAUCAACUUUGAUCUGUAGAGCAACCUUUUCAGGACUCGACUCAUUUUGGAAAUAACAAUGCGUGCCAUUCGUUUCCCUGUGCAGAUAAGUGCUUUACCAUAUAAAAGGCGCGAUUCUUAUUCCAAAAUGUAAG
rnacentral:lncRNA from 1 species